UGGGGAAUAUUGGACAAUGGGCGCAAGCCUGAUCCAGCCAUGCCGCGUGUGUGAAGAAGGCCUUCGGGUUGUAAAGCACUUUUGUCCGGAAAGAAAAGCUUUGGGUUAAUACCCCGAAGCCAUGACGGUACCGGAAGAAUAAGCACCGGCUAACUUCGUGCCAGCAGCCGCGGUAAUACGAAGGGUGCAAGCGUUACUCGGAAUUACUGGGCGUAAAGCGUGCGUAGGUGGUUCGUUAAGUCUGAUGUGAAAGCCCUAGGCUCAACCUGGGAAUUGCAUUGGAUACUGGCGAGCUAGAGUGCGGUAGAGGAUGGUGGAAUUCCCGGUGUAGCAGUGAAAUGCGUAGAGAUCGGGAGGAACAUCUGUGGCGAAGGCGACCAUCUGGGCCAGCACUGACACUGAGGCACGAAAAG
rnacentral:rRNA from 1 species